rnacentral:rRNA from 1 species
GACGAACGCUGGCGGCGUGCCUAAUACAUGCAAGUCGAACGCAGUGGGGACGGGUGAGUAACACGUGGGUAACCUCCCAUCAGAGGGGAUAACACUUGGAAACAGGUGCUAAACCGAUACUGAUGGAUGGACCCGCGGUGCAUUAGCUAUUUGUGGAGGUAACGGCUCACCAAGGCCACGAUGCAUAGCCGACCUGAGAGGGUGAGCGGCCACACUGGGACCGAGACGCGGCCAAAACUCAUACGUGAGGCAGCAGUAGGGAAUCUUCGGCAAUGGACGAAAGUCUGACAGAGCAACGCAGCGUGAGUGAAGAAGGUUUUCGGAUCGUAAAACUAUGGUGUUAGAUAAGCGGUAUCUAACCAGAAAGCCACGGCUAACUACGUGCCAGCGGCCGCGGUAAUUC